UUUCAAAGUUAGUAACUCGUAU
rnacentral:snRNA from 1 species